UGUGCAUUUGGUUCACUCCAGUUAUCUUGAGGUCUGGGACCCAUGGGACUGGGGUGGCAGCUGAUCAUGUCAGGGGGACUCCUGCAUUGUCCCACAAGCACAGGAGAGAAUGCUAAACUUGAUUGGGAACUCAUGGAAGGCCCCUGGAACCCAGAGUUGGGGAGGCAAUAAGGGAAAUUUGGACCUGUAGAUACACUCAGAGAGAAGACGAUGUGAAGGCACAGGAAGGAUGCCCUGUGAAUAUCAGCACCAAGGCCUCCAAGCCUAGGAGAGAGGUCUAGAACAGAGCCUUCCCUUGCAGCCCUCUGAUCAAACUAACCCUCAAGUACCUUGAUUUUGGACUUUUGGCUUCCCGAAUUGAGCAAUAAUAACUUUCUGUUGAAGCUACUCAGUCUCGAAGCCAUCCAGUCUGCGGUGCUUAGUUUCAGCAGUCCUAGCAAACUUGCCUGCGACUUUCCAAAAUCACAGUUCCAUUUUGUCAUAGGGGAAGAAUUCUAAGAAGUUUUUUAUUUGGCUAAGUGAAGGAUAGAAGAAUAAUGAGCAUUUCCCUCAUCACAGCUCUGACAACUGCCUCAGCCACACAUGGCUUAUGAGAUUGGUCACGUCCUCCGCCUUCAGAUUGCAGGGGGCUUCAGUAAUACAUGUGUAGAAAUGUUUGGUCUUCUCAAUGCUGGGAAUCCAGGUAGAGUAUGGCCUGGCAUACGUGGAAGCCAGUCUUCUAAUGACCUCCUGGACACAGGCCUCAUUUGGGGAUCUCCUUCUCGGGCACUUCCUCUUUGGCUCCUGACCCAACCUUGUUGUGUCUCUCUUCCAUGCAUCCUGUACCAUCUCCGCUGUCUGGAACCAGCAACAUGAGGCUGCUCAGGACUUUGAUAUUGCUGCUGACUUCAGCAUGCCCCAGUCCAAACUUGCCCUUUUCCUCCUGAGUCCACAUCCGCUUUGCUCCCCAGUUCCCCAAUGUCGUCAUCCUUUUAAUCACAUGCUGACCAAAGAGUCAUAUUUAGCCACUCUCUAGUCCCUUCUGCUACAUCCAAUCUGUUGCCACAUCUCCUGAAUUCUUCCUUCUGAUUUCUUCUCACUCCUCCUUUCCACCCUGGGUCAGUCCAUUGGGGACCCAUGUCAGGACACUAGAUGACACUGUUUGAAUACUUGGAAGGAUCUGGUAAAGGAGACAGAGAAGUCUAAGGAGGGUUGGGGUGAGUCUGGGAUGGGCUGUGGGGUAGGCACCAGGUUAAGCUAAUUGGGGGAUGAGUGAGGGUAUCUGUUGCAUAUAUUUUAUGGUAAUAAAAGGAAGUUGAAAAUUCAGUUGCUUGUUUUGGGGAAUUAAAAAUGAGCAUGAAUGUCAAAGUGUGAGCAACUUUGCACAGAAUAGCAAUGUCAGUGUCAUGGAUCAUGGCAGAAGCCUUCUUUUUGUUGCCUGCAUUCCCUUCCUCUAAUAUUGUACACACUACCACCAGAUUUAAAUAUGUAGUUCUGAUUAAAUGCAUCAUUUUCUUUAUUCAUAUAGUCAAAAAACAUUUGCUGAGCAUAGUUCUCAUUAUUGAAAUUUAGUAGAAAAUGAGACUGAGUGAAUCCCUGUUAUUUUCCUACCAUUCCCUCCGUCAACUCCUGCUCCAAAUCAUUCUUUUAGGCUUACUCUUAGUCUUAGUCACCGUGUGUGUGUGUGUGUGUAUGUGUGUGUGUGUGUG